UAGAAUUUCUAAACCGCACCUGCAACAAUAUUGGCUGAGCAUGCCGUAAGGCUCAUUUCUUAUACAUGCAGUAUAAUAUCCUGUAUAAACCGUAUUGCAUUCCACACAUUUACUAAUUGUUGCGUCAUAGGUUUCGUCGGCAUUGUUGUAUUGGUAUAUAUUGGCGUCAACAAUCGGCCUUUGUUAGUGUGGAAAGAACAGAGCUGUGAAUCGCUUGUAGAUAAAACGCGUAGUAGACAACAUACUUUUGUGCUGUUAAAACUAUUCAGAAUAAAUAUAAGGAAAUGGAGUUAGAGCAACAAAGCUGCUGUUCUUUGCAAGAUAGCAGGUGCAUGUGCACCGAAGCGUUGUCCUCUCUGAAUGACUUGAGACAGAUGGACCUAUUGUGUGACGCGGUCUUGAGGUUUGGAAGAUGGCGGCGUUUUUCAUGAGUGAUUCUCUCGAUGCGUAACGAAUAUUUCAGGAACCUCUUCACCACGACACUACAUGCCCACGAGCAGACUGACGUUCUCCUGCACGGAGUCAGCUCGGAUAUCAUGGCUCAGAUAUUGGACUACGUUUACACAAGGAAGGUGGACAUUAAUUGUGGAAACGUGCGUCAGCUGCUCGUAGCGUCCGACUACUUGUGUGUGCUAGGCGUUCUUCAGCUCUGCUGUCAAUUCCUCCAGAACACGAUGAAUCUUGGUAAUUGCAUCGGCAUCAUGCCUUUCGCAAGGU